rnacentral:rRNA from 1 species
AUUGAACGCUGGCGGCAGGCUUAACACAUGCAAGUCGAGCGAGCCGCGCACGGGUGAAUAAUGUCUGGGACCCUGCCUGAUGGUGGGGGAUAACCUCUGGAAAUGGUAGCUAAUACCGCAUACUAACAGAUGUGCACAGAUGGGAUUAGCUAGUAGGUGGGGUAAUGGCCCACCUAAGCGACGCUCCCUCGCUGGUCUGAGAGUAUGACCAGCCACACUGGAACUGAGACACGGUCCAGACGCCUACGGGAGGCAGCGGUGGAGAAUAUUGCGCAAUGGGCGAAAGCCUGAUGCAGCCAUGCGGCGUGGGUGAAGAAGGCCUGAGGGUUGUAAAGCACUUUCAGCGAGGAGGCGUGACGCGCAGAAGAAGCACCGGCUAACUCCGUGCCAGCAGCCGCGGUAAUUC